rnacentral:rRNA from 1 species
GACAGAGGCCCCAAGCGUUAGGCGGAAUCACUGGGCUUAAAGCGUGUGUAGGCGGAUCGUUAAGUGUCUUGUGAAAUCCCACGGCUCACCCGUGGAACGGCUGGGCAUACUGGCGAUCUUGGGCCAACUAGGGGCAGUCGGAACAAGCGGUGGAGCGGUGAAAUGCGUAGGUAUCGCUUGGAACGCCGAAGGUGAAAACAGACUGCUGGGGUUGCGCCGACGCUGAGACACGAAAGCCAGGGGAGCAAACGGG